UAUUUUGGACAAGGAAAACUCAUUCUAAUUUGGCAAGUCUCUUGCCAGAUGCUAUAUUUCAUAGCAACUGGAGGACUUUGGAUGAUGAAGAAUUAAGAAAAGAUUUUGUAUUUUUGUUACAAAAUUCUCAAAGAAUACCAGUUUAAUGCUUAUAAUCUCUAUGAUAUGCAUAUUAUGCUGUCGUUUAUUAAGGUUAUAAAGGUAGCAUUAACAUUUUAUACGACGUUAUCUACACUAAAAUAAGAAAACGAGGAUGUGAAACGAAUAAGCACUUUUAGGUUAUUUAGUUGCAUUUGUAAUUCGUGUUUAAUAAAAAUUAUUCAAUGUUA
rnacentral:lncRNA from 1 species